UACGUAGGGUGCGAGCGUUGUCCGGGAAUUAUUGGGCGUAAAGAGCUUGUAGGCGGUUUGUCGCGUCUGCCGUGAAAAUCCGGGGCUCAACCCCGGACUUGCGGUGGGUACGGGCAGACUAGAGUGUGGUAGGGGAGACUGGAAUUCCUGGUGUAGCGGUGAAAUGCGCAGAUAUCAGGAGGAACACCGAUGGCGAAGGCAGGUCUCUGGGCCACUACUGACGCUGAGAAGCGAAAGCGUGGGGAGCGAACAGG
rnacentral:rRNA from 1 species